rnacentral:rRNA from 1 species
GAGUUUGAUCGUGGCUCAGAGUGAACGCUGGCGGUAGGCCUAACACAUGCAAGUCGAACGGUAACAGGUCUUUCGGGAUGCUGACGAGUGGCGGACGGGUGAGGAAUACAUCGGAAUCUGCUCAGUCGUGGGGGAUAACGCAUGGAAACGUGCGCUAAUACCGCAUACGACCUUCGGGUGAAAGCAGGGGAAUCUUUAGGGAUCCUUGCGCGAUUGAAUGAGCCGAUGUCGGAUUAGCUAGUUGGUAGGGUAAAAGCCUACCAAGGCGACGAUCCGUAGCUGGUCUGAGAGGAUGAUCAGCCACACUGGGACUGAGACACGGCCCAGACUCCUGCGGGAGGCAGCAGUGGGGAAUAUUGGACAAUGGGGGCAACCCUGAUCCAGCCAUACCGCGUGGGUGAAGAAGGCCUCUGGGUUGUAAAGCCCUUUUGUUGGGGAAGAAAAACAACGGGUUAAUACCCCGUUGGUAUGACGGUACCCAAAGAAUAAGCACCGGCUAACUUCGUGCCAGCAGCCGCGGUAAUACGAAGGGUGCAAGCGUUACUCGGAAUUACUGGGCGUAAAGGGUGCGUAGGUGGUUGCGCCAGUCUGUCGUGAAAGCCCUGGGCUUAACCUGGGAAUGGCGAUGGAAACUGUGCAACUAGAGUGUGACAGAGGGUGGUGGAAUUCCUGGUGUAGCAGUGAAAUGCGUAGAGAUCAGGAGGAACAUUCGUGGCGAAGGCGGCCACCUGGGUCAACACUGACACUGAGGCACGAAAGCGUGGGGAGCAAACAGGAUUAGAUACCCUGGUAGUCCACGCCCUAAACGAUGCGAACUGGAUGUUGGGUCCAACUUGGGAUUCAGUAUCGAAGCUAACGCGUUAAGUUCGCCGCCUGGGGAGUACGGUCGCAAGACUGAAACUCAAAGGAAUUGACGGGGGCCCGCACAAGCGGUGGAGUAUGUGGUUUAAUUCGAUGCAACGCGCAGAACCUUACCUGGCCUUGACAUGCACGGAACCUUUG